CGCCUUGCCAGCCCGCUCAGAAACUUAAAGGAAUUGACGGGGACCCGCACAAGCAGCGGAGCAUGUGGUUUAAUUCGAAGCAACGCGAAGAACCUACCAGGCCUUGACAUGCAGAGAACUUUCCAGAGAUGGAUUGGUGCCUUCGGGAACUCUGACACAGGUGCUGCAUGGCUGUCGUCAGCUCGUGUCGUGAGGUGUUGGGUUAAGUCCCGUAACGAGCGCAACCCUUGUCCUUAGUUACCAGCACGUUAUGGUGGGCACUCUAAGGAGACUGCCGGUGACAAACCGGAGGAAGGUGGGGAUGACGUCAAGUCAUCAUGGCCCUUACGGCCUGGGCUACACACGUGCUACAAUGGUCGGUACAAAGGGUUGCCAAGCCGCGAGGUGGAGCUAAUCCCAUAAAACCGAUCGUAGUCCGGAUCGCAGUCUGCAACUCGACUGCGUGAAGUCGGAAUCGCUAGUAAUCGUGAAUCAGAAUGUCACGGUGAAUACGUUCCCGGGCCUU
rnacentral:rRNA from 1 species